ACAAAAAAACCGGCAGCCUUUUAAUUAGAAAAACCAACCCCAAAUCAAUUUCUCAGACUUCCUCCUCGUCAAAUCCUUUCCGGCCACCAGCACAUACACCUUUUCCUCUUAAAUUCUUUGAACAACUUUCCUUAAUCAAUCUUUUUCUUUCUUUUCAUUUUUUUCUAUUUUGUUAUCUUUCCUCUUCUACAAAUGUUAUAGCAAUUUUCCAUCUGACCACCUUUUUCACUAAAAACCUUCCUUCCAAAUUCUCAAAAUCAUGUAGAAACGGUCCCUUCUGCCUUCGCACAUCCGACGGGUCAACCCGGUAGAACACUGGCAGAACGAGUUUACACCUAAAGUUCCGAUCAAGAUCGCAUCUAGUUGAGCUUAUGUUGAGACCUAAAGUUCAAAGAGAAGAGAAGGCAAGGGAAGAAAUACCCACGAGACGGUACGGAAAAGAGAACCAGGCCUAUUACUUGGCAAAGAAUAAAUGAGGACAGAAUGAAUAAAGAGUAAAAAGAGGGAAAGGAACAUGAACUGGAAGUAAAUAAGGAAGAGGAAUCGGAACAGAUAUGAGGCAUUUAUAGCAACAAAUACGUCAGUUAUGGAUAUCCGAGAUAAUGAGCAAUUAAUAUCAUUAAUGCCAAUAAUCAACCUAAAUUAUGUGGAAAAAAAUUGUUACUAUUGUAUAUUCCUAUAUAAGGACACUUAAUUCUAUUUGUUGGGACAGAUUGGAGGCAAUAUUGAAAUAUGUUCUUUACUUUUCUGUUUUCUCGAAAUUCUCUACCUUGACUUUGCAAUUUAUCUAUCAAUUAUUUCCUAAGUUAUUUUUAUUAAUUUCCUUUGAUAUCAUUGUGAAAGUGAAGUAUAAUUUGGUUAUUAGUAACCCGUUUUCUUCUAAAAUUAGAUUUUGGCCAAAAGUCUUAUUUUUGGUUAAACAACCUUAAUGAACUAAAAUAAAUGUGAGGCUAAAUAGUAGGAAAUAUAGUAAUCUUUGUUCAAGGUUUAAAUUAGUUUACAGGCAGUGGGGGUGAUUCGGGUUAACAUAAAAGAAGGUUCGGGAUUCACAAGGCAUAUUGGUUACGCCUGAUAACUACAAAUUAAAAUGAUUUGAGCUUAAGAUGAUUUUUGUUAUUUCUUUAUUUGCUUUCUUAUUAAUUUGAUUGCUAGGAGCAUGCCUUAGGCCGACUACACCUGGGUAGGCAAUUUUUAGAAUUUUCCAUUUCUUAUGAGGUUAGAGGUUGUCCCUUAGUUUAUUAUUUAUCUGGGAAAUGCCCCGAAGGCUUGUAAAUAUUUUAUCAGGAGAAUACCCCAAAGCACAUGUAAAUGAAGGCCAAAGACGGGAUGACGUGAGGAAGCAUAGAAUAGAACUUCAGUAUUUUAUUUUUUUAUUUCUUCUUUUGUUUUCUUUUUAUUUAGGUGGGGACAACCUCGAACCUCUUUUAUGCUUGUUUUUCUUUUUUGUGUGUUUUACCUUAAUUAGAAUAUUCUCAAAAGCCGACUAGAUCAAAUAAGCAAUAGUACUAGUUACGGAAUUCGGAGCAUGUCUAACACUUUCUCCCCGAGUCCCCCUUAAUCAGAAUCUUUGGUGCAGUCAGUUUGGAGUCAAACGUGUUUUGAAAUAAAAUUAUGUCUAAACGGUGGCCUGAAACACUGAAAUAAAAUGUUAGGUGGGGACUCUGAACACUCUUUUAAAAUACAAUUUUGUCACUUUUCAUAAUUGAAACCCUUUCGAGCUUUUAAAAUCGCUUUUAUCUAUUUAAAGGAGUUAAUAAGGUGAAAAAAGGGUGUGACAGCUUACAUUAAAUCCCCGAACCAUAAAAAACCCACAUCUUUCUUCAAACCCUAUUCCUAGGACUUGAGAAUCUAGCCGCCACCACCUAGCUGCAAAAAAAAAAGAGCGAAGCAGGGGUUUUUUUUGGGGGGGGGGAGGGGAGAAUCACGCACGAACAAGGAGGAGAACAGAUGAGAAAGGGAUAUAGGUAAGAGUAGAAGGGAAAGCAACACGCACAAAGCUGCAAAAGAAAACAAGAGCAUAUUCCUCUCCUUCUCCGACCAUACUCAUAUUCUUUCACUCUUUCCCUUUUACUUCAGCUUGCCAGUGAAUUUUUCUCUUCAGAAAUCGUUUGGUUGCUGCUACUGCUGCACAGCCACCAGAAGCUCUAACAAACUCCACCAACCCAUUCAAGUUUCAAAAACCCUUACAAAAAGAUUUGAGCGACAAAGAGGUAUCAGGAUUGUUCGUUUCGGUGCUCGAGUUUUUUCCGGUUCCGGCUCUUGUUCGUACCACUAUUAUUGUAACUAAAUGGUGUCACACCUUGAAGUCCAUUCUUCUUAAAUACUUUGCCUUGAAUUACAUUAAUUAGGCGUUAGUUUUAUUGAGUCACCCAUGAUUUAUUACUGAUUAGCUAGAGUACAUUGAUAUGAUAUAAUUAUUUGAGUUACCGAUUGAA